rnacentral:rRNA from 1 species
AACGAACGCUGGCGGCAGGCUUAACACAUGCAAGUCGAACGCCCCGCAAGGGGAGCGGCAGACGGGUGAGUAACGCGUGGGAAUCUACCCAGUUCUACGGAACAACUGAGGGAAACUUCAGCUAAUACCGUAUACGCCCUACGGGGGAAAGAUUUAUCGGAAUUGGAUGAGCCCGCGUUGGAUUAGCUAGUUGGUGAGGUAACGGCUCACCAAGGCGACGAUCCAUAGCUGGUCUGAGAGGAUGAUCAGCCACACUGGGACUGAGACACGGCCCAGACUCCUACGGGAGGCAGCAGUGGGGAAUAUUGGACAAUGGGCGAAAGCCUGAUCCAGCCAUGCCGCGUGAGUGAUGAAGGCCUUAGGGUUGUAAAGCUCUUUCAGUAGGGAAGAUAAUGACGGUACCUACAGAAGAAGCCCCGGCUAACUUCGUGCCAGCCGCCGCAGUAAUAC